GUGAAGUGGCGCGUGAGGGCUGAGCUGUGACGAAAACUCGCGUUGCAGA
rnacentral:snoRNA from 1 species